rnacentral:tRNA from 1 species
AAACUAUUUUGUUUGUUUUGAAAACAUACUUUGAGAUAUCUCGUAGUUUU